rnacentral:rRNA from 1 species
UGGCUCAGGCAGAACGCUAGCGACAGGCCUAACACAUGCAAGUCGAGGGGCAUCGGGGCGAGGAGCAAUCCUUGCCGCCGGCGACCGGCGCACGGGUGAGUAACGCGUAUGCGACCUGCCCGUUGCAGGGGGAUAAUCGGGAGAAAUCCCGUCUAAUACCGCGUAAUGCCGCGGGGCUGCAUGGCCCUGCGGCCAAAGGGAGCGAUUCCGGCAACGGAUGGGCAUGCGUGACAUUAGCUAGUUGGCGGGGCAACGGCCCACCAAGGCGACGAUGUCUAGGGGUUCUGAGAGGAAGGUCCCCCACACUGGUACUGAGACACGGACCAGACUCCUACGGGAGGCAGCAGUGAGGAAUAUUGGUCAAUGGGCGCGAGCCUGAACCAGCCAAGUCGCGUGAGGGAUGACGGCCCUACGGGUUGUAAACCUCUUUUGUCGGGGAGCAAAUUCCGCCACGUGUGGCGGAGUCGAGAGUACCCGAAGAAAAAGCAUCGGCUAACUCCGUGCCAGCAGCCGCGGUAAUACGGAGGAUGCGAGCGUUAUCCGGAUUUAUUGGGUUUAAAGGGUGCGUAGGCGGACUGUCAAGUCAGCGGUAAAAUACGGGGGCUCAACCUCCGCCCGCCGUUGAAACUGACGGUCUUGAGUGGGCGAGAAGUAUGCGGAUGCGUGGUGUAGCGGUGAAAUGCAUAGAUAUCACGCAGAACUCCGAUUGCGAAGGCAGCAUACCGGCGCCCGACUGACGCUGAAGCACGAAAGCGUGGGUAUCGAACAGGAUUAGAUACCCUGGUAGUCCACGCAGUAAACGAUGAAUACUAGCUGUCCGGGGCGAAUGAGCCCUGGGUGCACAGCGAAAGCGUUAAGUAUUCCACCUGGGGAGUACGCCGGCAACGGUGAAACUCAAAGGAAUUGACGGGGGCCCGCACAAGCGGAGGAACAUGUGGUUUAAUUCGAUGAUACGCGAGGAACCUUACCCGGGCUCAAACGACACAGGAACGUACCUGAAAGGGUUCGGCUCUACGGAGCCUGUGUCGAGGUGCUGCAUGGUUGUCGUCAGCUCGUGCCGUGAGGUGUCGGCUUAAGUGCCAUAACGAGCGCAACCCCCAUCGACAGUUGCUAACAGGUCAGGCUGAGGACUCUGUCGAGACUGCCGGCGCAAGCUGCGAGGAAGGCGGGGAUGACGUCAAAUCAGCACGGCCCUUACGUCCGGGGCGACACACGUGUUACAAUGGCAGGUACAGCGGGAAGCCACCUGGCGACAGGGAGCGGAACCCGAAAGCCUGUCUCAGUUCGGAUUGGAGUCUGCAACCCGACUCCAUGAAGCUGGAUUCGCUAGUAAUCGCGCAUCAGCCACGGCGCGGUGAAUACGUUCCCGGGCCUUGUACACACCGCCCGUCAAGCCAUGGAAGCCGGGGGUGCCUGAAGUGCGCUGCCGCGAGGAGCGCCCUAGGGUAAAACCGGUGACUGGGGCUAAGUCGUAACAAGGUAACCGU